rnacentral:rRNA from 1 species
AUGUCCACGAACAGGCUGUUUGGGCUCUGGGGAAUGUUGCUGGUGACUCUCCAAAGUGUCGUGACCUUGUGCUUGGAAGUGGUGGUAUGUUCCCUUUGUUGCAGCAGCUCAAUGAGCAUGCCAAGCUCUCAAUGCUCAGGAAUGCCACAUGGACACUCUCCAACUUCUGCCGUGGGAAACCACAGCCAAACUUUCAACAAUCAAACCGGCUCUCUCAGCACUGCAGCGCCUUAUCCACUCUCAGGAUGA